AUAUAAGGCACUAUGACGACCUCAAGUCAAAUGAUCAAUCCCACUAUCGAACGUUAGAGAUUAGCCACUGACACUCAGAUAGUUAUCCAUGUGGAAUCUCUUAGCGGGUCUCCAAUGUUUUGUUCUACAACAAAACAUCCACAUGUUCAUUUAAGUGUCACCACACUUUAGCUCGUGAGAUCAGCUAUUUACUUCAUAAGUAAGAAAUGCCAC
rnacentral:lncRNA from 1 species